UACGUAGGGUCCGAGCGUUGUCCGGAGUUACUGGGCGUAAAGCGCGCGCAGGCGGCCCGCGAGGUGUCACGUGAAAGCCCCGUGCUUAACGCGGGAGGGUCGUGGCAAACCGGCGGGCUUGAGGCCGGUAGAGGUGGGUGGAACUCCUGGUGGAGUGGUGAAAUGCGUAGAGAUCAGGAAGAACACCCGUGGCGAAGGCGGCCCACUGGGCCGGUACUGACGCUGAGGCGCGAAGGCGUGGGGAGCGAACGGG
rnacentral:rRNA from 1 species